rnacentral:tRNA from 1 species
GCCGAAGUAGCUCAGUUGGCCAGAGCUACUGAUUUGUAAUCAGUGGGUCGGGGGUUCGAAUCCCUCCUUCGGCU